AGGCCGGUGGCGCGGUUGAGGCCAUUGGCGAUGGCCGAGGCAUAGAGUUUCCUGGCGAAGCCGUUCAACUCGGCCUGGCCGC
rnacentral:tRNA from 1 species